GUCCCUAUAGCGCAGUAGAUAGCGCGUUGGACUUCUAAUCCAAAGGUCGUGGGUUCGAAUCCCCCCUGGGAUC